rnacentral:tRNA from 1 species
UCCACUGCUUAGUUGGUAAAGCACAAAGCUUUUAACCUUGUGGACGUGGGUUCAAGCCCUAUGAUGGAA